rnacentral:lncRNA from 1 species
CCUGACCGGCUUCCAAUCAAAAUACGGUAGCAUCGCAGACUUCCUCCGAAUGACUAGGCUCAGGACUCUCCAUGUAACUCUCAAAGACAGGUCUAGUUCUGAAAAAAUUCUAGCGUCAUCUCUCUGUGAAUUAACAAACCUGGAGGAGCUUAGAUUGACCGGUGAUAACCAAUCCGAUGGGGCUUAUGAUGUGGAUUUCGUUUGUAAUUUCGUUCGUCUAAGGCAUUUAAUGUUUUUAAUUAUUUCUAUGUAUAAUAUUACAAAAUUUACAUGAAAUAUAUUUAUACUAUUAUAAAAAUGAAAAUAUAUGAAAUAAAAUUAAUUUUUAUAUAUAGAUAUUACUAUUUUUGAAAUAGAUAUUUAUAAAACUUACGGAUCCGGAUAUCCGGACUAAAAAAAUCAAGAUAUCCGGAUCCGGAUCCGGCUUUGGCGGAUCCAACAUUUUACUAUCCGGAUCCGGAUUCGGCCCUUCCGGAUAUUCGGAUUUUCGGAUCAGAUUCGGAUCGAAUCUCGGAUCGAAUCCGGAUCUCGGAUAAAAGUCCCAGGCCUACUUGUAACCCAUAUAUAUAUGGGAUGUUCUCAUAAGCAAAUCAAUCAAGCAAAUAAGAUUCUCCUUAUUUACUCUAUCUCUCUCUCUACUUUCUAGAUUAAACAUCUCUCUCUUGUUCUUGCUAUGUUCUUCAAUUUCUAACACCUCAGUUAUGUAAUCUAAAAAUAUGGUGCCUAGACGACUUGGAAGAGUGGAUAGUCGAAGAAGGGUCGAUGCCAUGUCUUCGUACCUUGUCUAUAUGGUUCUGUGACAAGUUGAAGGAGUUACCGGAAGGGCUCAAGUAUAUCACUUCUUUAAAGGAACUGAAAAUCACCGAUAAGAACAAGGAGUGGAAGACGAAACUCGUACCAGGUGGGGAAAGUUACCACAAAGUCCAACACAUUCCUAGUGUUCAAUUACACUAUCGUGGCGAGGAAUAAGGAGAACAAAACUGUCUCAGGUAUAUAUAUAUUUUUUUGGUAUAAUGUCUUUCUUGAAGUUUAGUGUGAAAGUCUCAACUAUCUAACCUUUUUAUUAUUCGGUUUUCAGGUGAACCUACUCAGAAUCAGUACCCACUAUUGACUGCAUGCGUGAUGUGAUAAUAAAAAGUUUAUUUUAAUCUUGUUUGUGAUAUAUUUCGUUUAUCUGUUGGAUGCUCAUUCACUGUAAUGCUAAGUUUGAAAUAUAUUUUGUAUGUUGAACCAUAUCUUCUUCGAUUGUGGGUGCUUAGUUGACUUGUGUAGUCGGAAUUGGAGAUAGAUCACUGAACAUCAUUCUUAACAUGAUUUUAUCAUUUGGUUUAACCAAAGUCAAGAGCUUUUACACGAAACAUCUAGUUUAUCCCUUUUAGAACCUUGGAGUUUAUUGAAACCAAAGUCAGAGUUUCUCACCACAGCGGGGGACUCCUCAGUCCUCACAGUUGAUACUACAAAGAGAGAUUUACAUCGGAAAAUCCAUGGUCGUGGUGUUCGGCGGCCUCGUCCACAAGAAGUUCCUCAACGACAUCAUUGUUUAUGACAUUAGUAAUAAUCAUAUUGAUUCCUUGAUCCAAAGAAGAUGCUUUUUUUAUUAGUUACUACUGUCUUGGCUUGUUCUUCUUGUAAUGACUAGUGUUUCUAGUAGUUUAUUGUCUGUUAAGCUUUGGUUAGAAGGAUGCUUAUAUCAAAGAUAGUUUCUUUGCAAAAAGUAUAGAAAUCUGAAAACUUCACGAUUAGAUGUUCAGUUCGGUGCUGUAGACGAAUCAAAUGGAUACUCUCUUCUCUUAUUUUACUACUUUUGUUUCUGAGCUUUCUUUUUCUUUUCUCCUUGGCCUUGUUUUAAGUAUCAUAUAUGUGUAGCUUUUUUGAUCAUGUGAUAAUCGGGUUUGUCUUAUGAUUUGCUUCUUCUUUAUCCUCUCGACUAGAGAACAAACUCUGGUUUGAGCCAGAGUGUACUGGCAGCGUUUCUGAAGGAAAAGUUGGUCCUACACCGCGCGCCUUUCAUGUUGCCAUCACUAUUGAUUGUCAUAUGUUCAUCUUUGGUGGACGUUCUGGCGGCAAGAGGUACGCACUACUAUUUAUUUUCUAAUUAUAAGCGUUUAUACAUUCUAUUUUCACUGGAAUAGCUUAUUUCUAUAAAUCAUUACAGGUUAGGUGACUUCUGGGUUCUAGAUACAGGUAAGUGGGCCUCGGAGUUUUUAAUUCUAUGCUUUGGCACUUCUAUGAGGGCGGCUAUUAUUUUCUGCAGAUAUAUGGCAGUGGUCUGAGCUAACCAGCUUUGGCGACUUACCCACGCCUCGUGAUUUUUCUGCUGCCGCUGCUAUUGGCAGCCAGAAAAUUGUGGUGUGAGUAUCAUAAAUUUUAGACGUUCCAUCAGCUUGUUGCAUGCAUUGGCUUAACCUAUGAUUAUGGGCAGGUGUGGCGGCUGGGAUGGUAAAAAAUGGCUGUCAGAUGUGUAUGUUAUGGACGCAAGUAUAUCUGAAUAAUACUCUUUCCUUUAACCUUUACAAAGAUUAUUACAUAAUAGUUUUAUAGUGACAAAUAAACAAUCCAGGCUAGGCAAUUUGGACUAUUAGAACCAGCUAUUUAGGACAGCUUAAAGCUUCAUUGUCCUUCACAUACAAAUGAGAAAGCAUCAAAAUGGUUGUGACAAGGUACAGUCGAGGUCGUACUAUUCCUCUUUUCCGAAUCUCUUUCAUGUUGAUAAGAUGACCAUUGGAGACUUAAGGAUUGAGCUUGAGCUCUCUAUCAUUGAUGUCUUGGGCUAACAUGGGUUUCGUGUGGGCCACUUCAGUAUCUUCACUUACAACUGAAUGUACUGAAACAUAAGUAAUGACGUUGAAUUGUUGGGUAAAGAGUAAUGAAUUUCUUUGCCUUUCUUUGUUUUUUUUGUUUGAUAUUUUUGGUUAUAUUUGCUUAUAUAUUCUGAAUUAAUUGUACUGAUAUCUAUACUAUAUUAAAAGAGUUAUAUGAGCAUCAGAGAGGACGUCCACGUCAGAUAAUAAAAUCAACCAAUCAAGAGAUCCUUUUUGACACGUCAUCUCGGCUGUGGGUUGUUGGGCUCCGAUUUUUUUUUAAAAGAUAGAAUGUUAAUGAUGUUGCCCAGUAAGCUCAUCUCCUUUGCUUUUGCCUCUUCUUCAAGCCUUCUAGCGUCAUCUCUCUGUGAAUUAACAAACCUGGAGGAGCUUAGAUUGACCGGUGAUAACCAAUCCGAUGGGGCUUAUGAUGUGGAUUUCGUUUGUAAUUUCGUUCGUCUAAGGCAUUUAGAUCUGAACAUACAUAUGACAAGGCUUCCUGAUCACUCUCGAUUCCCUCCCCACCUCGCA